UACGGAGGGUGCAAGCAUUGAUCGGAAUUAUUGGGCGUAAAGGGCGCGUAGGCGGCCGAAAAAGUCAGAUGUGAAAUUCCAGGGCUCAACCCUGGAGCUGCAUUUGAAACUUUUCGGCUAGAGUGUAGCUAGGGAAAAUGGAAUUCCACGUGUAGCGGUGAAAUGCGUAGAUAUGUGGAAGAACACCGGUGGUGAAGACGAUUUUCUGGGCUAUAACUGACGCUGAGGCGCGAAAGCUAGGGGAGCAAAC
rnacentral:rRNA from 1 species